GUGGCGCACGGGUGCGUAACACGUAGGUGAUCUGGCCUUAAGUGGGGGAUAACGCUCGGAAACGGGCGCUAAUACCGCAUACGCUCAUGGAGUUUUGAAGCCCAUGAGGAAAGCUUAAUGUGCUUAAGGGGGAGCCUGCGGCCUAUCAGGUAGUUGGUGGGGUAACAGCCUACCAAGCCGAUGACGGGUAGCUGACCUGAGAGGGUGGUCAGCCACAGGGGAACUGAGAGACGGUCCCCACUCCUACGGGAGGCAGCAGUGAGGAAUAUUGGGCAAUGGGGGCAACCCUGACCCAGCAAUGCCGCGUGCGGGAGGACGCCCUUCGGGGUGUAAACCGCUUUUAUGGGGGAGGAGCAAGGACCGUACCCCAUGAAUCAGUCACGGCUAACUACGUGCCAGCAGCCGCGGUAAUACGUAGGUGGCGAACGUUAUCCGGAGUUACUGGGCGUGAAGGGUCCGCAGGCGGGCCGUUAAGUCUGACGUGAAAUCUUCUGGCUCAACUAGAAGGGGUCGUUGGAAACUGACGGUCUAGCAUCCCGCAGAGGUCGGCGGAAUUCCCGGUGUAGUGGUGGAAUGCGUAGAGAUCGGGAGGAACCUCGAAAGCGAAGGCAGCCGGCUAGGCGCGGAUGGACGCUGAGGGACGAAAGCGUGGGGAGCGAACAGGAUUAGAUACCCUGGUAGUCCACGCUGUAAACGAUGUGUGCUCGGUGGUUGUUCUUAAUUGAAUGGCUGCCUUAGUUAACACGCUAA
rnacentral:rRNA from 1 species